GCUGCGGAGAGCAGAGUUGACAAACAACUUCUUCAGAGCUGGGUUAGGUGAGACAGCGAAGGGGCCACUCUUCCACAUCCCACCACCAGAGAACAGGGCUGCGCGGGAAUGAAGCCAGCCCAGAGGAAAGCGGAAGCAACCACGGCCAGGUCACGUGGACCCUGCUGCACCUCAGCAGGUCACGAGGCCAAUUCGAGAGGCACAGUUCUGCAAGGAUGAAAGAUGGGAGUGGAGAAGACAACAAAGAUGGACGAGCUGGGGCCAUGAUGAUGAAGACGAUGAUGAUGAUGAUGGUGGCCGAGUGCCCUGUGAUUUACAGGCCCAUGUGGUUUCAUGUUUGCAGCAGCCAAUCAAGUGGGUACCAGGUGCUAUCAUUCCCACUUUACAGAUGAGCAGACUGAGCCCCAGACAGGUUAAGGGACUCCCCCAGCCCUGCAAUGAGGAAGGGCCCAGCACAGCUCCAGGCACAAGGAGGGACUCCAGGCAUGGGGAGGUGUGGUGGACCAGGCCUGGCCGGGAGCUUGUCCACAAGGCAGAGCUCCACCCAGGCUCCCGGACCGGGAUCCACACAUGAACAACAGGCCCAGGAGUUCCCAUGGCUGUGGCUGGUGGACCCCCACACAUGCUCUCCAGAGCCUGAGAAAUGCUCAUCCUGCAGGUGAUUUGGGGGGGUCUGCUCCCACCUGCACUGCUCUCAGACCAAAUUUCUGCUUCCUGACAGAAUUUCUAGGAUCCUCCCUCUGUCCUCUUAGCCGAGGAGGGGAGAAGCUCUCUCCCUCCCUCACCACGGGGCAGGUCACCAGUGGGAGGAUUUCAUGACCCACAUGCCUCCCAGGGCUGGCGUGUGGGGUCCAGCGGUCCCAGCCACAUCUAUGUCAUCCCGCUUCCUUUCCCCUCACUGAGAAAGAGGCGGAAGAGAGGUUGUUGCUCCCACCUUUUGGAUGGGGAAACUGAGGCCUAGAGCACAAAAGCAGCUUGCCCAGGGCCUGGCAGCACCAGUCCCGCCCACGACCCACCGCCCUUUCCGCCGCUCCACUCUUACCUCCUCCCCCAGGUUUCUGGGUCUGGGUUUAUCUCUUUAUCUAGGUCUGCACCCACAGCUGCCCCAUUAGAUCAAACAGGGGUUGGCUUCCAGGAACGCCGGGUGCCUUGGCAUUGCUGGCCUGGCUGGCAGCUGCUGGUUGGUGAGCCCCGGGUGAGGCUGUCUCCUCUCCCCAGGCACUCCCCAGGCCUUUAGAGAGGACAUUCUCCCACUCUCUUUUAUGGAAAGCCAUGGAAUCUUCUGUGUGGAUGCAGCCUGGGCAGCCAGAGAGGGGUGGCCACUGAGGCCUGGCCCUGGCCCUCACGUGGCCGCAGCUGACCCCUCCCCACCGCAGCUCUCCAGUCUCCUCUGCAACGUGACAGCCCUGGCUUCUCUACCGUUGGGAGGAAGUAUUUUUAGUUUUGAACCCACCACGUGAAGCGAGACAAGUUAUCAAUAGCAGCAGCAAAGGGCUUUUUCUUUCUCUUUUUUUUUUCCCCAUAUCUUUGGGACCUGAACAAUCUGCACCCAUUAAAUUCUGCCAA